CUGCUUGCGACCGCCGCACGGAUUAUGUACGUUCAGCUUGCGUAGGGCAACUUAACUUCACGAACGUGACUAAAAGUUGUAACCUACUCACCGCUUGACCACUCAUUGUGCACCCAUUGGACGGGCCUUCGCCCCCUAUUGUGAACCUUUGUCCACGAUUAUGGCGUAUUGUUGACUUUGACGUACCAAAGUCGAACUUUCUACCAAAGCCGAUAGUGAAGACCUACCUGGGCGCCGCAUAAUCGAUCAACCACCUCAUUACCAAGUGGUUCCGUUACUAUGCAUCGGCUGGACUCUCCCAUUAGCCGGUGUAACCCUGACUCUGUGCCGGGUUUGAGGAUGCCCUCCGUCGUCAUCCCUUAGAAGGUGUUACCUGCUUUCAGACUACCUCGUUGCGGCGCACUCACUUCUUCCCAAAGCCGAGCAUUUUGAGACAACAACUUCUUCUUGUGUAGACUCUCAUUGACAAGUCCACAACUGCCAUANAUUGGUCUUUCGGUGCCGAUUGAUGCACGGUCGUCGGCGCCAUUAUGCAUCCACCGUUCGCAACAGGCCUAAAUAACCCGCAUUUCGCUCGCGUCCGCCAAAGAAUUCAGACUACACUUUCGGAAGCCGAAUUGGCCUCUUCACGUAGCCUUUGACCCUCUGAACUCACGUCUUCUCCUGUCACCUUGAGGUACACAUCGCCACUUUACGCAUCUAUAUACCUUCUUGUGGUCACCGCUUCCGCCGACAGACCAGACAUUGACUGCGACUCCGAGCUUUCGUACCCAUCGCUUGUCCUAAUCUAUGGGACCAUCAGGUACGGCAUUUGCUACUUAUGAUCCACAACCUCCCAAAGGCGGGAAGUCACGGCGUCGAUUGCGUAAUUCAUAAGGCGGACCCUCAUGCUGGCGUUCCAACUUUGAGUUUCCUUAACUGCCCCCGGGCGUGUUCGCCACCUCGUACACCAAAUUAAGCUUCGAUGCGCUUCUUGGAAUGGUCCAGAACUGUAUGACACGUUUGGAUUCUCUAAUCCGCAAGGGAAGCCCCUGCGUCUAUGUCCACCACGUACCGACAGCAGUCGAGCACAGCACUCUACAACCCAAUUCAGGGCGUUGCUCGCGUUGGGAAUAACAGUCAACGGUCGUAAAUCAACCCGUGAGACCGCUCUGACGGCCACUGUUUGGCCUCCUUCCACCCCUACUACAGUUCAGUAGUACGGGGAAUACUGGACCCGAUGUGUGCACGAUGUUACCUACCAUGUUGCUCAGCGUUUGAGCGCUCCCGUUCGAUUAGAGAAUUUCGGUAAGAGUCAAGCCUGACGUCCGACGUUGAGCGGACGUGCUUCAACCUUAGCGAUCAUUAGCGCCUAGUCGUACGGCGCCACUUAUGCAAGGGCCCGGAACAUGUGUGGCGGGCAGUGUGGUACUCUCAAACGUUGUGGGUUUCAGCCAAGCCAUUGGAAGCCCUCGGUUGGCGGAUUCCACCCCGUCUACUAAUCCCAC
rnacentral:rRNA from 1 species